rnacentral:misc_RNA from 1 species
AACGCAAAUUGCGCUUCAUGGUAACGUGGAGCAUGCCUGGUUGAGUAUCAGUAACCCACCUCAUCCAAAUACCCUUUGGAUGGAUAUGAGGCGUCUCAGUGGUUCUCCGCUGAGUCCCUUUAAGAAUCGAGAUGUGCGCCAUAUGCUUAUGUCGUACAAAUGAUGUGGUAGUUGUUUCGCACAAAACUUCAUCAUUUGACAUACAGCUCUGUGCCUACAUUCGCCCUCUCCUCGGAGAGAAUCUCAGACUCCUAACCGAGUCUUUGAAUCCUUGAUCUCAACUCAGGUAAGACUACCCGCUGAACUUAA